GGUUUUGGAUUAUCUCCUUUCCAGCACAACAAGCAAAACUCAGGUCUUGUGAUGAACUUAUCAAUCUCCAUUAAUUAUAUCAGCAGUGUGGUGAAAUCAUCUAUUCUGUCAUCUCUGGAAUAUUGCUUGGCUUCAGGUUUGGCUCUCUCAAUCCGAUUUGUAGAUACUUAUUCGUGCACUUGUGACCUCCUGAUUGGAUUAUUGGAAUUCUUUGCUGACAGCUCUUCCUGAUAAGGCCUUACACAGGAUUCAAUUAAUCCAAAUGCAGUAGUGAAGAAAUUCUGUUAAGCAACCGCUCUGCUGUGAUCCAUACAGCCCUGCACUCGCCCGAUGGGCGGCACUUCCAGCAGCUGCAGAGGCAGUGCAUGCUGCACUGGGAGCCAGCAAACAUCUCGCUCUUCAGCACGCUUAUCUCUUUCAUCUGCCUUCUUCCUGACUCCACAGCAAGAUGUGCUGACCUCUCGGGGGCUCCUAAUCUCUUUAUCUACUGACCUCCCACUUACUAUUUGUCCUAAGUAUUGAAAUCAUUUAAUCCCCAAUAUCACUGAGAUGAAGAUGUAGAAUUUCCCCCUUCGUACUUUGCAGUGUGGUACGCAACUCUGCAGUCUAUGAACUUCGUGUUUUGCAGCAAGUACCCCCUCAUUAUUUACUAUACUUCCCUAUGGGCAGCUGCGAUCACAGCGGUCUUCCCUUUCCUCAUUCCUUGGCCUGGAGGACAGAAACCACCCACCAGAAGUGUCUGCAGGGCCUUCUAAUAGAUCUGUAUUCAAACUGCAGUACUGGAGCCAGGAUCCUCUGGAGUUUCCCUAAAUCCUCCACUUACUGUAACAGACAAAGAGCCUUAAUAGGAUCCUAAGGCUUUUAAGGCACUUAGAAAAGGUGAAUACACAAAAAACUCAGAAAUCUGAAGAUGUUAAAGAAAAAUUUUAAAAAUUAAAUUUUAAAAAUAAGACUCCAUUCCACACUCUUGAGAUUGACUGAAUAAUACACGACAAACUCCAGCCAUUAUCUCCAGGCAGGAGAAGCUCGAGCAGCAGCAUGCACUGGGGCACUGUGAUCAGACGUGCUGGACAAACCUUCCUGAGCAAUCAAACCCUGAAGGGUGAAGUUGGUACAGGCACCCAAAAACCAACUGUCUGAUGUGAGGGCAGUAUUCACGUGGGCUUCCAUCGAGAAAAGGAAGAAGAGAUGCUGGAUGACACCCACAGAUGGGAGCUGCUCUCCCCGGCAUGGCAGCUGAUGCUGAAUGCAUGCACGGAUCUCAGAAACCAAUAAUGAAGUUCUCUCAUUUUCCACAUUAUUCUAAAAAUAUCUUUAGUCAUUAUUUUUAAUUACCUGUUAAAGCAGCAGGUGUGACAGAUUUGCAUCACAUUUUCAGCCUACUAAAUCGUCCCGUUUUGCAGACAUACACAGAAGGCAAAGCCUCUAAAACUCUGUGUGUUUUGCACAGAACACAGAUGCUUGUUACUCACAGCAUCAAUGGGACGAAGAGACCUGGUUCUUAACUGACACAAAACAAAUCCAGACCUCCUCAGUCUUAUUUUCAGUGGGUGGGAGAGAUUGGCAAGACGAACUGCUGCACCCGUUUGUACAGAACAAAGACAAGAAGCCGGAGGUUACCCACACUGUGGGCAGCCGCGUGUCCCACCGCACCGCUUGCGCACAACCUGGGCAAAUAGUUUUAAAGUUCCAGAGCCCGCAGUGGGUGUGGAUGAGGGGACCCCCUGAACCUUCCCAGUAAAUCCUGAGGCCUAUCGAACAUCUAUCAGAACUCCGCAGUUGCUUUGCCAAGGGUUUGUGAUAGUUGGAAUUUAGGUAACUUCUGAAAAUUAGGACUGGAUAAUGAAGUUCCCACGAGGAAUUUGUUGCUGCUGUUCAGGAGCAUUAUCUAGCACAGAGUUCAAGGGCCUGGCCUGCUGGCACGUAAAGAAACUAACAUUUCACUCCAGAUUGCAGCUGAGUAUGUUUUACACUAGAGAAAAGCAAGCUUGUGUCAACCCAGUGCAAUGCAGCCCCCAGCGCUGUGCUGCAGGAGGGCUGGGGGGGACUUUACAUGAAAGCAAAGCAGACAAACUGACUGAGGUGCUCAGUUCCUGCAGGGCUGCACUGCCUUUCACGAGGGCUAACCAACGGACACAGCCACACACGGCACCUCUUCCAUUGCUCAAGUCACCUGCAGUCCAGAAUGGGAACAUGGAUGGAGUGCUAACACCCACAAAAGCAGCACGCAUUGUGGCCUGUUUUCCACAAGCAAGAUGUUCCCAGCCAGAGGAUUAUAAGUGCCAUGCUUCGUUACAUUUCAAACAAUAAAAAUGAAUGACCCAUCUCCAGUGAGUGUCAUAUUUCUGGAAGGGAGGAUAGCCCGUGUGCUAAGGAACAUGUCCUAAAUCUGUCUGCUCCAUUAACCUUUGAAAGUUGGAAUAGUUCUAAGGUUUGAGAAGCAAUUAAUAUCCUGUAGGCAAUAACAUUCUUGAAUAGACGACCCAGGAUUUCAGUUACACCUGAGCAGAAAGUAAUACCUCACCAAGAGCUCUCAAAGAACUGAAAACAAAAAACCACCCCAAAAAUCUCAUUUUGAAGUGCAGUGAGAGGUCAUAAAAACUGUGGAUUACUUUAGUUAGCCAUUUGUAACAGGUAAAUGCAGGAGUGUGACUUCCUGGCGUGGGGGGAAAGGUCUGUAUGACUUUUCCAGGGUUAUGAAUACAUAAAUAACAAUGGUCACUGCAGAAGGACAGAAGCUUUGGGAUUAACCUUUCCACACAUUUCUAAGUAACCUGCUGACCCAGUAAAAGAUUUUUGUGUUUGUUCUCCACAUCAAUCAUACCUAUAGGAGAUGUAAACAUUUCUCCAUCUACCUCGGAAUGGAAACCAGAAAAUAAUCACCCAUCCUUCACAAUUAGUUGUUUACACUCAAGCUGCCCUUCAGUAAAUGCAUGGCUAUAGGAUUUUUGUGUAAGAAAUUAAUGGCUUUACCCAUGCCACGUAUUACUGCCAUUCCAGAAAUGAAGCCAUUCUACCCAGGUUUACCAAGAGCUCCCUCAGUGCUCCAAGUAUGAGAGAUCACUUCCCCACCAUGGAAUCAAGAUUGGUUUAAGCUGUUCGCUUCUCCAAGAGAGGAGAAGAAGCGUCCACCCCACUGUGCCCACAUCCCAGAAUGACUCCCAUGUACGCCCAUGUGCCCAUGAAGGGCACCUCCCCAGCCCACAGCUACCACUGGCAGCCCAUGCAGCAGGGCCAUCAAUAACAGGCCUGAGCAUUAAGCAGCACAGAACUGAGCAUUUCAGAUUAAGUGCAUUCCAGAACCCUUUUCUAGCGGGGAAUUCAAGCUGUGAUGCACAUGAUAUUAUUUUCCUUCUUAAGUUCUACAACACAUGAGUUUGCCUGACAAGAAAAGAGACCCAGAGGAUUCAGGCUGGGUCAGCACCUGGAGUUAAGAGAGAACUGACAGCGAUUUCCCACGCAAGUUUUCUGACAAAAAUAAAACUCCUUGUUCCAAAGAGGUUAAAUCAGAUCUGUAACCAACAUCCCAGAAAGACAAACUGAUUUCCACUGGCAUUAGGAUGGGCCUUUGUUGCGUACCAGCUGUUGAGUGAGAACACAGUUAACAUCUUCCUUCAAGACACUGAGCCCGUCUUGGAACCUUCCUCUGCUGCACACCUUUCCCCCGUGGCAGAGGGAUGCAGAGAAGUGCAGAAGUUGCCAACACCGAAAAUCAGCAGUGCCUUCAGGUUCACACAACACCGGAAUUCCCAGGCCUUUAGCGUUUACUUCCUGCCCUAUCACGGUGGAGAACGAUUUCAGCCUGUCCCAAUGAGUCACAAAGUAAAGUUUUAGCAUAGAUAUUUGUCAAGGAGACCAAUAAAAUGAAAUAAAUAGGGUAACAAAGUGGGAAUUAAAUACAGUGGGGAAAACAAGAGCAACGAUCUUUGCUUUAAAAGCACAAAGCUGGAUUGCUGUUUAGUAAAGCAGAUGCUUUUAUCAAUGUCCAGAGAACAGCUGAAGUGGGGCAGUAAUUGGCAGGGACUGACCUCGGGCUGAUCUGAA
ensembl:lncRNA